rnacentral:rRNA from 1 species
RAACCACAGGGAUUGCCUUAGUAGCGGCGAGUGAAGCGGCAAGAGCUCAAAUUUGAAAUCUGGUACCUUCGGUGCCCGAGUUGUAAUUUGAAGAAAGCUAUCUUGGAUUUGGCCUUUGUCUAUGUUCCUUGGAACAGGACGUCACAGAGGGUGAGAAUCCCGUGCGAUGAGGUGUCCAUUUCUAUGUAAGAUGUUUUCGAAGAGUCGAGUUGUUUGGGAAUGCAGCUCUAAGUGGGUGGUAAAUUCCAUCUAAAGCUAAAUAUUGGCGAGAGACCGAUAGCGAACAAGUACAGUGAUGGAAAGAUGAAAAGAACUUUGAAAAGAGAGUGAAAAAGUACGUGAAAUUGUUGAAAGGGAAGGGUAUUAGAUCAGACUUGGUAUUUAGUUAUCAUUACUCCUUGUGGGUGGUGCUCUAGCUUUUUACUGGGCCAGCAUCAGUUUUGGUGACAGGAUAAUAGCAAUUGAAUGUGGCUCCUCGGAGUGUUAUAGCUUUUGUUGAUACUGUCUACUGGGACUGAGGUCUGCGGCUUUGCCUAGGAUGCUGGCGUAAUGAUCCAAUACCGC